CCGAGAUUCCGGGUCGAACCGACCCGAACCUCCCACCCAAUGCGUACCUUUCUGUGUUGCUCUGGCAGGAACAUGGGGAAUGUUUUUUCGAUUCUCCUGCCUGCCAGAGGAUCUCCCAAAUUCUGACAUUGUCGGUGCAGUCUGAAGUGAUUUUAGCAAAAUGAAUACA
rnacentral:misc_RNA from 1 species